CAAAUACUCCCUCCGUUCGGAAUUACUUGUCUCGGAAAUGGAUGUAUCUAGAACUAGUUCUAGAUACAUCCAUUUCCGAGACAAGUAAUUCCGAACGGAGGGAGUAAGUU
rnacentral:pre_miRNA from 1 species